rnacentral:rRNA from 1 species
UACGUAGGGGGCAAGCGUUGUCCGGAAUCAUUGGGCGUAAAGCGCGUGUAGGCGGUUCGGUAAGUCUGCUGUGAAAGUCCAGGGCUCAACCCUGGGAUGCCGGUGGAUACUGUCGGACUAGAGUACGGAAGAGGCGAGUGGAAUUCCCGGUGUAGCGGUGAAAUGCGCAGAUAUCGGGAGGAACACCAAUUGCGAAGGCAGCUCGCUGGGACGUCACUGACGCUGAGGUGCGAAAGCGUGGGGAGCAAACAGG